rnacentral:rRNA from 1 species
GGUUGAUCCUGCCGGACCCUACUGCUAUCGGGAUAGGACUAAGACAUGUUAGUCGGGCGUCUCUAAGCCAUGAAAGAGACGCGGCGUACGGCUCAGUAGCAUGUGGCUAACCUAACCUAAGGACAGAGACAACCCCGGGAAACUGGGGCUAAUCCCUGAUAGGCGUGGACUCCUGGAAUGGAUUCACACCCAAAGAGCAUUUGAUUCAUGCUUCAGAUGUUGCCUUAGGAUGGGGCCGCAACCGAUCAGGUCGUUGGCGAGGUAACGGCUCACCAAGCCUAUAACCGGUACGGGCCGCGGGAGCGGUAGCCCGGAGAUGGACACUGAGACAAGGGUCCAGGCCCUACGGGGCGCAGCAGUCGCGAAAACUUCACAAUACGCGAAAGCGUGAUGGGGCUAUCCCGAGUGCCAUCCGCUGAGGAUGGCUUUUCUCCAGUGUAAGGCGCUGGAGGAAUAAGGAGAGGGCAAGCCUGGUGUCAGCCGCCGCGGUAAUACCAGCUCUCCGAGUGGUAGGGAUGUUUAUUGGGCUUAAAGCGUCCGUAGCCGGCUCAGAAAGUCCUCCGUUAAAUCCAGCGACCCAAUCGUUGGACUGCGGGGGAUACUCUUGGGCUAGGGGACGGGAGAGGUCGACGGUAUUCUCGGAGUAGGGGUGAAAUCCUAUAAUUCCGGGAGGACCACCAGUGGCGAAGGCUGUCGACUGGAACGAGCUCGACGGUGAGGGACGAAAGCUGGGGGAGCGAACCGGAUUAGAUACCCGGGUAGUCCCAGCCGUAAACGACGCGGGCUAGGUGUUGGGGUGGCCACGAGCCACUUCAGUGCCGCAGGGAAGCCAUUAAGCCCGCCGCCUGGGGAGUACGGCCGCAAGGCUGAAACUUAAAGGAAUUGGCGGGGGAGCACCACAAGGCGUGAAGCUUGCGGUUUAAUUGGAGUCAACGCCGGG